AUCCUACGGGGCGCAGCAGUGAGGAAUAUUGGUCAAUGGGCGGGAGCCUGAACCAGCCAAGUCGCGUGAGGGAAGACGGUCCUAUGGAUUGUAAACCUCUUUAGGCGGGGAGCAAUGCCGGGCACGCGUGUCCGGAGGGAGAGUACCCGCAGAAUAAGCAUCGGCUAACUCCGUGCCAGCAGCCGCGGUAAUACGGAGGAUGCGAGCGUUGUCCGGAAUCACUGGGCGUAAAGGGCGCGUAGGCGGUAAUAUAA
rnacentral:rRNA from 1 species